UAAUAAUAAUAAUGAUGAUGAUGAUGAUGAUGAUGAUGAUGAUGAUGAUCAUCAUCAUCAUCAUCAUCAUCAUCAUCAUCAUCAUAAUAA
rnacentral:pre_miRNA from 1 species